CAAGUUACUCACAUGAAAGGCAUAGCCAGCCAUCAUGACCCCGAGUCAUGCCUCAAUAGCCCGCAAUGGAAUGGGGAAGCGUUAACAGGGGAAAACGCAGGCACCCUAUUGAUCUCCAACUCCCAUACCGCUGUUCCAAAACCC
rfam:Chlorobium ferrooxidans DSM 13031 ctg57, whole genome shotgun sequence.